GAGUUUGAUCAUGGCUCAGGAUGAACGCUAGCGGCAGGCUUAACACAUGCAAGUCGAGGGGUAACAGGAGGUGCUUGCACUUCGCUGACGACCGGCGCACGGGUGCGUAACGCGUAUACAAUCUACCUUUUGCUGAGGGAUAGCCCAGAGAAAUUUGGAUUAAUACCUCAUGGUAUGUAGUAAUGGCAUCAUUAUUAUAUUAAAGGUUACGGCAAAAGAUGAGUAUGCGUUCUAUUAGCUAGAUGGUAAGGUAACGGCUUACCAUGGCGACGAUAGAUAGGGGCCCUGAGAGGGGGAUCCCCCACACUGGUACUGAGACACGGACCAGACUCCUACGGGAGGCAGCAGUGAGGAAUAUUGGACAAUGGGCGCAAGCCUGAUCCAGCCAUGCCGCGUGCAGGAUGACGGCCCUAUGGGUUGUAAACUUCUUUUAUAGAGGAAGAAAACU
rnacentral:rRNA from 1 species